rnacentral:lncRNA from 12 species
CGAGUGUCCCCACACCCAGGUGUCCCCACAGCUGGCUGUCCCCACACCCGAGUGUCCCCACACCCGAGUGUCCCCACACCCAGGUGUCCCCACAGCUGGCUGUCCCCACACCCGAGUGUCCCCACACCCGAGUGUCCCCACACCCAGGUGUCCUCUUCCGAUCUGGGACACGUCCGUGUGCAGGGUGCGCUCGUGGGCCUCGUCCACCAUGAUCACACUGGGGACGGGAACAUUGGCGUGGGGACAGGGACAGGGACACGGGGACAGGGACACGGGGACAGGGACAGGGACACAGGGACAGGGACACGGGGACAUCAGGGGACACAGGGACAACAGGGGACGUGAGGACAGCAGGGACACCAGGACAGCAGGGGACAGCAAGGACAGCAGGGACAUGGGGACACGGGGACACGGGGAUACGGGACAUGGAGAUAGGAGACAUGGGGACAUCAGGGAACACAGGACAUGGGGGACAUGGGGGACAUGGGGCAAUAUGGGACACGGGGACACGGGGACAGGGGGCCAUGGGACACAGGAAAUGGGAACACGAGUGGGAGGGGCCAGAAACGGUUGGGGCAGAGUGGGUGGGGUCAGAUGUCAGGUGGGGUCAGGGCGUGGCCAGAUGUGCUGGCAGUGCCCAGGUGUGCCCAUGGCCAGGUGUGCCCAGGUGUGUGGCUGUGCCCAGGUGUGUGCCCACGCCCAGGUGUGUGCCCAGGUGUGUGUCCAUGCCCAGGUGUGUGCCAGGUGUGUGCCCAUGCCCAGGUGUGUGCCCAGGUGUGCUGGCAGUGCCCAGGUGUGUGUCCAUGCCCAGGUGUGCCCAUGCCCAGGUGUGUGCCCAGGUGUGCUGGCAGUGCCCAGGUGUGUGCCCAGGUGUGCCCGUCUCACCUUGAGCUCCUCGGGCAGGUCGCUGUAGUCGAUCUCGAUCAGCGCCUCGCGCGCGUACAGGCUGGAGCUGCGCUGGGAGCUGCCCCCGGGCUCCUCGCCAGUGCCACCGCCCUGGGGACACGGGGGGGACAUCAGGGGACAGGGGGGACAUCAGGGGACAUGGGACACACAGGGGACACACAGGGGACAUGGGACACACAAGGGACAUGGGACACACAGGGGACAUUGGGACACACAGGGGACAUUGGGACACACAGGGGACAUUGGGACACACAGGGGACAUUGGGACACACAGGGGACAUUGGGACACACAGGGGACAUUGGGACACACAGGGGACAUUGGGACACACAGGGGACAUUGGGACACACAGGGGACAUUGGGACACACAGGGGACAUUGGGACACACAGGGGACAUUGGGACACACAGGGGACAUUGGGACACACAGGGGACAUUGGGACACACAGGGGACAUUGGGACACACAGGGGACAUUGGGACACACAGGGGACAUUGGGACACACAGGGGACACAGCUGGAGCUGCUGCCAGGGUCCUCCCCAGUGCCACCGCCCUGGGGACACACAGGGGACACAGAGGGGACACAGAGGGGACACAGAGGGUGGCUCAGGGCUGUCCCCUGUCCCUGUCCCACCUCCUCCUGGCUGAUGUCGUCCAUGGAGCCCCGGGCCAGCGGCAGGCGGAUGUCCUGCAUCUUGCAGGCCUGCAGCAGGUUGUGGCGGUCACUGCGCUUCUGCUCCAGCUUCGUCUCGAUGGCCGUCACCUCCUUCUGCAGGUGGGUCAUCUCCCUGGGGACAGGGACAGGCUGUGGGACAUGGGGACA